rnacentral:rRNA from 1 species
GGACGAUAAUGACGGUACUUUAGGAGGAAGCUCCGGCUAACUAUGUGCCAGCAGCCGCGGUAAUACAUAGGGAGCGAGCGUUGUCCGGAAUUACUGGGUGUAAAGGGAGUGUAGGCGGGACGGCAAGUCAGAUGUGAAAUGUAGGGGCUCAACCCCUGAACUGCAUUUGAAACUGUUGUUCUUGAGUGAAGUAGAGGUAGACGGAAUUCCUAGUGUAGCGGUGAAAUGCGUAGAUAUUAGGAGGAACAUCAGUGGCGAAGGCGGUCUACUGGGCUUUUACUGACGCUGAGGCUCGAAAGCGUGGGGAGCAAACAGGAUUAGAUACCCUGGUAGUCCACGCCGUAAACGAUGAUUACUAGGUGUGGGGGGAUUGAACCUUCCGUGCCGGAGUUAACACAAUAAGUAAUCCACCUGGGGAGUACGACCGCAAGGUUGAAACUCAAAGGAAUUGACGGGGGCCCGCACAAGCAGUGGAGUAUGUGGUUUAAUUCGAGGCAACGCGAAGAACCUUACCAGGUCUUGACAUCGAGUGAAUAAUCUAGAGAUAGGUUAGUCUUUCGGGACACGAAGACAGGUGGUGCAUGGUUGUCGUCAGCUCGUGACGUGAGAUGUUGGGUUAAGUCCCGCAACGAGCGCAACCCUUAUCUGUUAGUUGCUACGCAAGAGCACUCUAGCAGGACUGCCGUUGAUAAAACGGAGGAAGGUGGGGACGACGUCAAAUCAUCAUGCCCCUUAUGAGCCUGGGCUACACACGUACUACAAUGGCAAUCAAACAGAGGGAAGCAAGAUAGUGAUAUUGAGCAAAUCCCAAAAAAUUGUCCCAGUUCGGAUUGC